rnacentral:lncRNA from 1 species
GGAGAAUCAGGCGGGAGACCUGGGGCAGGGCUGCUCAUUCACUUCAUGCCCUGUACCCCCCCGACAGGUUAGGACUUCCCUCCAAGGAGAGAGUGUGUUUGGAGGCACAUCCCCGGGUAGUCCCCCUGCCCAUUCCCAGGGAGGCCCAGCCUGUCCGUAGCACUCGGCUUCUGCAUCCCUCAGCCAGGGAGCACCAGCAGCAAUGCCCCCGAGGGGACUGGAGGACAGAUCGCCAUACCUCUCUAAGUGUGUUGUCAAGCAGGAAUAAUAUCUUCGUGAAUCCAGCUUCUGUCCGAAGUGGAGGGAAACUGACAUUUCUAGAGCACCUACUGUGUGCUGGACCCCAUCUCCUCUGCCACCACACAGCUGUUGGAGACCACUCGGCAGGUGUCUGCGUGCACCACCAGAGGUGAAGCAGGGGGCAGGGGCUCGGGAAGGAAGCUUCACACCUGUGAGGAGGCUCAGCCUGUGGGUGACCCAGCCCCAACCCUGGUCAAGUUCAAAGGCUGGGGGAGAAGACUGCGGCCAGAUGGGACACUUAAACAACAGAGUACAGGUGAAGAUGUCAUCAAAGGCUGAGAUGACAGCUCUGCAGCUGCAUCGAAGUGAGCAAAAGCUGGGCAGAAGAUAGCUCCAGAACGAGGCAAGGGAAGAGCAGCUCCCGGGGAAGCUCCUGGAUCCAGAGGAACCCCAGGGCACGUGUAUGGAGGGCUGGGGGCAGAGCAAAGUGUGUCAGCUGAGGGCCUCCAAACUUGGGAUCCAGGGGGUGGCCUUGGGCAAGCCCCUUGCCUUCUGAGAGCCUCAGUUUCCACCUAUGGCCCUUUGGUUAGCAGAAGUGUCCAGCAAGACAAUGUGUGUGUUAACCCCACUGGUGGUAGUGGUGGUGGGAGAGGUCCCCUGCUUGCCUUCUUACUGUUGUUGUUGUUGGUAGGUGACCUCAGGACGCCCAUGGGUCCAUGUCCCAGCAGGGUUCCAGGUGAGGGCUAGAGGUGUGAUCUGCCCAGAUAAGGGGCCCCCUGGCUCCUUAACAGGAUGGUAGGGGUGCCCCAAGUGAUUACAAGGGCCAUCAUAACAGUCAGGAGAGCUAGGAAAAUACUAAUUGGGGCUGCUCCUUCCUGUUGCCAGAAAUCCCAGAUGGCAAAGUGCAAGGGGCAUCGGUGAAGACCAGUUGCCCUUGUGCCUGCAUCCUCGAGGACUCCAUGAGGACACUCACUGGGAAAGCUGGGCAUGGGACUGGUCUCAGCUAACGGUGCUCCCAGCCUUCCACUAGGAUGGGCCUGCAGGGAGGGCGUCACCUGUGCAUUGGAAGGGGCUGGGCUGGGCUGGCCUACACUGGGAAGCGCUCUGUCUCUGUGACUUAGGAGAUCUCUGGCCCUAUCUGGAUGUUCG